rnacentral:rRNA from 1 species
CGAGCGGUAGCACAGAGAGCUUGCUCUCGGGUGACGAGCGGCGGACGGGUGAGUAAUGUCUGGGAAACUGCCUGAUGGAGGGGGAUAACUACUGGAAACGGUAGCUAAUACCGCAUAACGUCGCAAGACCAAAGUGGGGGACCUUCGGGCCUCAUGCCAUCAGAUGUGCCCAGAUGGGAUUAGCUAGUAGGUGGGGUAACGGCUCACCUAGGCGACGAUCCCUAGCUGGUCUGAGAGGAUGACCAGCCACACUGGAACUGAGACACGGUCCAGACUCCUACGGGAGGCAGCAGUGGGGAAUAUUGCACAAUGGGCGCAAGCCUGAUGCAGCCAUGCCGCGUGUGUGAAGAAGGCCUUCGGGUUGUAAAGCACUUUCAGCGGGGAGGAAGGCGGUGAGGUUAAUAACCUCAUCGAUUGACGUUACCCGCAGAAGAAGCACCGGCUAACUCCGUGCCAGCAGCCGCGGUAAUACGGAGGGUGCAAGCGUUAAUCGGAAUUACUGGGCGUAAAGCGCACGCAGGCGGUCUGUCAAGUCGGAUGUGAAAUCCCCGGGCUCAACCUGGGAACUGCAUUCGAAACUGGCAGGCUAGAGUCUUGUAGAGGGGGGUAGAAUUCCAGGUGUAGCGGUGAAAUGCGUAGAGAUCUGGAGGAAUACCGGUGGCGAAGGCGGCCCCCUGGACAAAGACUGACGCUCAGGUGCGAAAGCGUGGGGAGCAAACAGGAUUAGAUACCCUGGUAGUCCACGCUGUAAACGAUGUCGAUUUGGAGGUUGUGCCCUUGAGGCGUGGCUUCCGGAGCUAACGCGUUAAAUCGACCGCCUGGGGAGUACGGCCGCAAGGUUAAAACUCAAAUGAAUUGACGGGGGCCCGCACAAGCGGUGGAGCAUGUGGUUUAAUUCGAUGCAACGCGAAGAACCUUACCUGGUCUUGACAUCCACAGAACUUUCCAGAGAUGGAUUGGUGCCUUCGGGAACUGUGAGACAGGUGCUGCAUGGCUGUCGUCAGCUCGUGUUGUGAAAUGUUGGGUUAAGUCCCGCAACGAGCGCAACCCUUAUCCUUUGUUGCCAGCGGUCCGGCCGGGAACUCAAAGGAGACUGCCAGUGAUAAACUGGAGGAAGGUGGGGAUGACGUCAAGUCAUCAUGGCCCUUACGACCAGGGCUACACACGUGCUACAAUGGCAUAUACAAAGAGAAGCGACCUCGCGAGAGCAAGCGGACCUCAUAAAGUAUGUCGUAGUCCGGAUUGGAGUCUGCAACUCGACUCCAUGAAGUCGGAAUCGCUAGUAAUCGUAGAUCAGAAUGCUACGGUGAAUACGUUCCCGGGCCUUGUACACACCGCCCGUCACACCAUGGGAGUGGGUUGCAAAAGAAGUAGGUAGCUUAACCUUCGGGAGGGCGCUUACCACUUUGUGAUUCAUGACUGGGGUGAAGUCGUAACAAGGUAACCGUAGGGGAACCUGCGGUUG